UACGAAGGGUGCAAGCGUUACUCGGAAUUACUGGGCGUAAAGCGUGCGUAGGCGGUUUGUUAAGUCUGUUGUGAAAGCCCCGGGCUCAACCUGGGAAUGGCAAUGGAUACUGGCAGGCUAGAGUGCGGUAGAGGGUAGUGGAAUUCCCGGUGUAGCGGUGAAAUGCGUAGAGAUCGGGAGGAACACCAGUGGCGAAGGCGGUUACCUGGACCAGCACUGACACUGAGGCACGAAAGCGUGGGGAGCAAACAGG
rnacentral:rRNA from 1 species